rnacentral:tRNA from 1 species
ACCAGGAUGGCCGAGUGGUUAAGGCGUUGGACUUAAGAUCCAAUGGACGUCUGUCCGCGUGGGUUCGAACCCCACUCCUGGUA